rnacentral:lncRNA from 1 species
GGAAUCUCAACUUGAUACACCCUUUUCUCUUAUCAUCUUAAUGCUCUAUAGUUUGUUUUCUCAUUUUGAACCAGGAGGAAAAAGCAACAAAUUCUUCUGGCUUGUGGCCUCUGUAUUUUAUGGCUGAUGGAACGUGAAAAUCACAUCAACUUUGCUAAUUCCCAACUCACCUGAUGUGUGGGAGUGUUGUUGGUACUUAUGCUUAAGUCAAGAAAUAUGGUUUAAAACUGAGAUAAUGAUGUGAAAGCAUCUAGAAUGAUGUCUUCCCAGUAGUUAGGUGGUAAUUAAGUUCCACUGGAUACAAGGAACAGAGUCAAGUUAUUAUUAUUUUAAACAGUGGGGUUUUGGAAGGAUAUUAAUAGACAGAAGGAAUCUCAGCUAAGAGCUGAGGCCUGGCUUGGCAACUCUAAGAACUGGAUUUUCUUGUUAGCCACUCAGUAGCAGAAAUUUGUUGACCUUACACUAUUAGGUGACUUGGUUCCUCUUUGUAUUUACUGCUUUUGCUGACCUACUUGCUCAUGGUCUAUUCAGCCCCCUUCUCCCUCCUUCGCUGUUUCUCUUCACUCAUUUUGUCUCCUUUCUUGUAGCUUUA